rnacentral:rRNA from 1 species
AUUGAACGCUAGCGGCAGGCCUAACACAUGCAAGUCGAGCGGAGCGGCGGACGGGUGAGUAAUGGCUAGGAAUCUGCUUGGGAGUGAGGGAUAACGUCCGGACACGGGCGUUCAUAACGCAUCCUAUCCGAUGAACCUCGGUCGGAUUAGCUAGUUGGUGGGGUAAAGGCCUACCAAGGCGACGAUCCGUAACUGGUCUGUGAGGAUGAUCAGUCACACUGGAACUGAGACACGGUCCAGACUCCUACGGGAGGCAGCAGUGGGGAAUAUUGGACAAUGGGCGAAAGCCUGAUCCAGCCAUGCCGCGUGUGUGAAGAAGGUCUUCGGAUUGUAAAGCACUUUAAGUUGGGAGGCGUUACCAACAGAAUAAGCACCGGCUAACUUCGUGCCAGCAGCCGCGGUAAUAC